GGUUCCAUGGUGUAAUGGUGUAACGGUUGGACUCUGAAUCCAGCAAUCCGAGUUCGAAUCUCGGUGGAACCU
rnacentral:tRNA from 1 species